rnacentral:rRNA from 1 species
UACGGAGGAUGCAAGCGUUAUCCGGAAUCAUUGGGCGUAAAGCGUUCGUAGGUGGCUUUUCAAGUCUGCUGUCAAAGCACAAGGCUUAACCUUGUAAAGGCAGUGGAGACUGAAAUGGCUAGAGUGCGGUAGGGGUAGAGGGAAUUCCCAGUGUAGCGGUGAAAUGCGUAGAGAUUGGGAAGAACACCGGUGGCGAAAGCGCUCUACUGGGCCUGCACUGACACUGAGGGACGAAAGCUAGGGGAGCGAAAGGG